rnacentral:rRNA from 1 species
UGGGGAAUAUUGGGCAAUGGGCGAAAGCCUGACCCAGCAACGCCGCGUGAAGGAUGAAGUAUUUCGGUAUGUAAACUUCGAAAGAAUAGGAAGAAUAAAUGACGGUACUAUUUAUAAGGUCCGGCUAACUACGUGCCAGCAGCCGCGGUAAUACGUAGGGACCAAGCGUUGUUCGGAUUUACUGGGCGUAAAGGGCGCGUAGGCGGCAAUUCAAGUCAUCUGUGAAAUCUCCGGGCUUAACUCGGAACGGUCAGAUGAUACUGCUUUGCUAGAGUGCAGAAGGGGCAAUCGGAAUUCUUGGUGUAGCGGUGAAAUGCGUAGAUAUCAAGAGGAACACCUGAGGUGAAGACGGGUUGCUGGGCUGACACUGACGCUGAGGCGCGAAAGCCAGGGGAGCAAACGGGAUUAGAUACCCAAGUAGUCCCUGAGCGGGCUGGCAAGGCGCAU